rnacentral:rRNA from 1 species
CCUACGGGAUGCAGCAGUGAGGAAUAUUGGUCAAUGGACGAGAGUCUGAACCAGCCAAGUAGCGUGAAGGAUGACUGCCCUAUGGGUUGUAAACUUCUUUUAUAUGGGAAUAAAAUGUUCCACGUGUGGGAUUUUGUAUGUACCAUCUGAAUAAGGAUCGGCUAACUCCGUGCCAGCAGCCGCGGUAAUACGGAGGAUCCGAGCGUUAUCCGGAUUUAUUGGGUUUAAAGGGAGCGUAGGUGGAUUGUUAAGUCAGUUGUGAAAGUUUGCGGCUCAACCGUAAAAUUGCAGUUGACACUGGCAGUCUUGAGUACAGUAGAGGUGGGCGGAAUUCGUGGUGUAGCGGUGAAAUGCUUAGAUAUCACGAAGAACUCCGAUUGCGAAGGCAGUUCACUGGACUGCAACUGACACUGAGGCUCGAAAGUGUGGGUAUCAAACAGGAUUAGAUACCCUGGUAGUC